rnacentral:rRNA from 1 species
AUACGGAGGGUGCAAGCGUUACUCGGAAUCACUGGGCGUAAAGCGCGCGCAGGCGGCUAUUUAAGUUGGAUGUGAAAGCCUACGGCUCAACCGUAGAACUGCAUCCAAAACUAUUUAGCUAGAGUGUGGGAGAGGAAGAUGGAAUUAGUUGUGUAGGGGUAAAAUCCGUAGAGAUAACUAGGAAUACCAAAAGCGAAGGCAAUCUUCUGGAACACUACUGACGCUGAGGCGCGAAGGCGUGGGGAGCAAACAGGAUUAGAAACCCGGGUAGUCC